UAUUUCUACCACCUGUCAUACAGAAAAAUGAAUCAGAAUUUGACCCUACAAAAACACACUACAUACACAUGAAAAAUCUGAGCUAUAAUAAAAUAUUCAAUAUAAUCCUCUGAGAGGAGUGGUGUACGUUGUAAGGAUAGAGGUUGUUUUCAAUAGGUUACGAGCUCGAACAGUGGAAUUGGUUAUUAUUUUUGUCUCGAGAUAGCGUGUCUACAUUACACUACUUUGGUCAAUGACCCUUCUUCUCUGGACCCUAAGUGAAAGUGGGAUGAUUCAUGCACCGAGACAACCGUUUUUGUGAAUACACAAUCAUUAAUUCUCAUAACCUAAAAGUUCAUAAUCUUGUUCACAUCUUAGUAGCUACUAGAAGAGGUGUCAAAUGGACGGAUUGAGUUAAAACUGAACAUGCAGACUAUCGAGCCGCCCAAAAGCUCCAUUUGUUCUUAAAUGGGCUAGUAAGUGGGUUCACAAACAACUCAUGCUUGAACACGUUAUGUUUUCAUGAGCUAAUUUUGUUCGGAGGGUGUUUAGGGGGGUGGGGGUUAGCAUUCAAGAGGUAAACAACCUAACUAUACUAUGAGAAAAUGAAAUUUCAGAAUGAUCUGCCAUAUAUAACCAAAAGAUACAAGAGAGGGUCAGAUGUCAGUUGCUUUUCCCCAAAAAACCACUUUUUUCAUGUGUGCCCUAUCAGAAAAAAA